rnacentral:lncRNA from 1 species
CUUUGCAAUUUUUUAAUAAAUUUCAAUUAUUUCAAGACAAAAAAUUUAUACACUCACAGAGCAAAGAGCCACAUGACGGACACAAGGAUGGCUUGUCAUCAACUGUCUACGGACCUGGGGCAGCUGGCUAACCCGCCCGGCAUUGUGUCCUCACUCACAGAGUAAGUGUGAGUGAGGUCACAGGAUGGGCUGAAGAAUUACGGGAUUUAACACACGUAGGACUGUCUAGAAUAAAGGAAGCCCUUGAGUAACGUUAACUACUAGUAUAGCAACAGCAGGGGCAUCCAGCCAAGAGAAAAUGUAUGGUCGUAAGAGAAAAAACAAUGAGCAAGCAAAUUUACAAAAUAUAUAAACAAAUGUCAUCAACUGAGAGAAUCAUCAAUGUUGCAUAUAAAAUGCUAAAAAAGGAACUUCUGAUAAAGAUAAGCCAGGGUGAGAGUUCCCUCUGUAGACUAGGAUCCAUGAGGAUGCGGGUUUGAUCCCUGGCCUCCCUCAGUGGGUUAAGGAUCUGUCAUUGCUGUGAGCUGCGUGUAGGUUGCAGAUGUGGCUCAGAUCCCAUGUUGCUGUGGCUGUGGUAUAGGUCAGCAGCUGCAGCUGUGAUUUGACUCCUAGCCUGGGAAGCUCGACAGGCCACAGGUGUGGCCCUAAAGAGCAAAAAAUAAAAAUAAAUAAAUAAAUAAAAAUAGGCUGGUAGAGGCCAUUGUUCAGAAGGAAAAGAAACAUGAAUAACAAAAAUGAGAAAUAAACAAGCCAAGAGAAGAGAGACCUAGAGAUUACAAAAAAACUAUAAAUUUAACAAAGAGGGGAAGAAAGGAAUAAGAGAGAGAAAACACAAAACUAAAUGGUAAGAAAUCAAUCCAAAUAUAUCAAUAAUCAUAGAAAUGUGAAAGGAUUUAACUCGCCAUAUUUCUAAAUCAGAUUCAUGUCCAUUCUAAUCAACAGUAACCAAUACUUUUCAGUCAGAGAUAAUGGGAAGUUCAUGACAUGUAAGCUACUGCCACCACCUCCCAUGCCUGUAACAGACAUAACCAAUCAAUCGUAGCAUUCUUUCCUGAGCCUGGACAAUACCUUCAGCAUCCUUCUCAACACACAGCUCCAGGUUAUUAUUACAGAGAGAUCAGCUCUGUCUUAACAGAGUUCACCCCUGAGCCAGCUCCCCAUUUGCCCCACUCUCACUGUCACAUCCCAACUCAACAUGUUCCAGGAAGAGUAAAGAAACACAAGAAAAAGUCCUACCUGGAGAUUUGGAGGAAAGACCAGGCAAGAGAGGAAUGCUGCUCUGAAUUCCUGGAUCUCAGCCAGCUGUUCCCCUCUCCUCCUCAUUCCGUGCCCCCGCUGGGCCUGUCUCCAGGAGAACAUCUGCAGCAAGCCAGAUUCUAGCAGGGACCAUCAUGAAAGCCCUUGUUAGCAGUGACAGUGACCACAGCAAGCUAACGCUGGGCUGGGAGCGAGGGACUGGCAGCCCCACUGGCCCUGGGCAGCAGGUGAACUUUCCAAGUUCAUUUGGAGGAUUUCUGGCAAAGGGGGAGCCUGGCAGAAAAGCCCUGUGCUCAGGCAGAGGGGCUCUGGCACAGCAAAGGAGGAAAGAUCCAGGGUUGGGGGGAGAAUGGGUAUGACUGCCCCCGGGGCCGGGUGCCGUACAGAUACUAAGUCCCAGCCACAACCCUGAGGGGACAGUAUUUUUAUUUCCAAUAUACAGCUAGGAAAAGUGAGUCUCAGAGAAGCUAAAUAACUAGCCUUGGUUCACAAGGCUAGUAAGUGGUAAGUGGCCUAAUUCCAGUCCUGAAUUUGCAUAAACCAGAAACGUACACAAGUUCAACGAGGGGAGCUAUCCACAACAGCACUCUGUAACACCAGUCUGGAAACACUCCUCGUGUCCUUCAGGAGAACCAGUUACAGUACAGAAAAGUCCCUCAACGGGACACAGUCAUGAGAAUGAACCCUAACUACCCAGUCAAACCAAGGUAAAUCUCACAUAAAGCGAAAUUCAGUUCACACAACACUUUUGAAAAUGGCAAGGGAGUUCCCAUCAUGGCUCAGGGGUAAUGAGCCCAGCUAGGAUCCGUGAGGACGUGGGUUUGAUCCCCAGCCUUGCUCAGUGGGUUAAGGACCCAGUGUUGCCGUGAGCUGUGGUGUAAGUCACAGAUGGGCUCGGGUUCCACGAUGCUGUGGCUGUAGUGCUCCGAUUUGACCCCUAGCCCAGAACUUCCACAUGCUUCGGAUGUGGCCUUAAAAAGCAGGGGGAAAAAAAAAAGGCAACCCAUUGAUGGUGUUUGAGGUCAGGAUGGUGGUACUGGUCAUGGACUAUUUCUGGAUCUGAGUACUGGCUACCCGAAUGUGUCCACCUGAAAUUCAUCCAGCUAUUCACUUGGGAUCUGUGUACUGUCCCAUGUUGAAUUUCCAGGCAAAGUCUUUAGAAACUGAACCUGUACCUCAGGUAGAUGCUUCCUCUACUGCACCCCACUGCUGCCCUGGCUGAUCAUUAUGAAACAGACGACUACAGAGAACAGGGCACUGAAGUGCCUGUCUUGAUUGGGCUUAAGUUCUGAUUUGCCCACUUUCUAGUAACUUCUGCUCAGAGCAAUCCACUGAAACGUGGACACAGACUUCUCCUUUGCAGGGUUAUUGUGCAUAAGAAAGAAACAAGGAAGCAUUUUGUAAUAACAUCCUAAGACCCCAUGUUUUCUGAGCCCCCAGCGUGUGCCAGUGUUCCCUCCAAGCCUUCCACAGCUCUGGAAGGUGAAGGCUUCCCCCAUUUUAUCGCCCAGGACUUCAAGGCUCAGAGCAGGAGCGAGCCAGGCUGGGAUUCACAUCCAGGUGUUCCUGAUCCAAAGUCACGGCUGCCAGGAGAGCCCCAGAAAGCUUGCCAGAUGUUCUAGGCAACAGUCAAGAUACAGACAUUGUCACAAAGACCCUGGGUUCUAGAAUCCUUCCUCCCUCUCAUUUCCAACAAAGUUCUGAGUCUCUGAAGUUCCUCCUCCACCCUGUUGAGCCCAUGGUAAUUGUUCAUUUUCUUCUCCAGCUAACACAAGCCUACCUUUCUCAUCAGCCAGUGGUUAUGGCCAUGUUAAUGCUGUGUAACAAACCACUCCAAUACUUAACGGCUUCAAACAAGGUUCUUUUUUUUUUUCCCCCAAGAUUCUUAACAUGUGUUGUUUGGGGGUUGGCUACUCUGGGU